rnacentral:lncRNA from 1 species
GCGGGAGCCUCGCGUGCCGCCGCCGUGGAGGCCGGCAAGGCCGGGCCGGCUCCCCCGGGAGAGUCGACUCCCGGUGGGCGUCGGCCUGGAGACGUCCGCGGAGCGCGGCCCGAGAACCAGGCGCGGGACGCGGAGCUGUAGCGCCGCCUCUCCCUGCGCGCCUUUGUUGCUCUGCAUUUAUUUUUCCAACGACAAGCCAGCGCCGAAGGAUCUGGCCCGAGAACUACCAAGCCGUGCUACCUUUUCCUCUUCAGAAGCAAGAACAGAGACGAUUUAUUUAGCAAGAGUUUGUGCUAGUGUGUUUUCUUGUUUGAUUAUAGGCUGGGGUUUAUUGUUAGACAAUCGAGCAAUUUGGGAGGAAAGAAAAACCCCAGGUCCACGCGUGAGCUGGAGUGAGUGCUUCGCCCUGGCCAGCAGCCUCUGCAUUUUGAAAGUAGAGGCGGAACUAAAAUACCCGCGUGGUUUGCGGGUGAACUGCUCCCCUGAACGCUAGAUACCCCUGCGUAUUUAAGGUCGUGAAGAAGAGAAGUGAGACGGUAUUGUUCAAAAGAGCAGCCCACCGGGACAGGUAGCACACUGUAACUCCAGCUGCUCAGAAGGCUGGGGCAGGGGGAUCGCACGGGCAGUGUGAGCAAUCUAGUGAGUUAGACACCUCAAAAUAAAAAGGACCAGGCGCUGACGGGGUGGUGCACUCUUGUAAUCCCAGCCCUCUGGGAGGCUGAGAACAAGUUCGAGCCCAGCCUCCUCCAAUUAGCAGUUAAGCAAAAUCCCGUCUCAAAAUAAUUAAAAAGGGUUGUGGACAUAACUCGGUACAAAGCCAGUGCAAUCCUAGUAACAGGCGCACACGCGCGCGCGCGCGCACACACACACACACACACACACACACACACACACACACACACGCAGGUGCACGCAUGCGCUAAAGCAUGUCCCGAGUAGGUCUUCCGAGAGCUUUCCUGAAGUUAAUGCCCUAAAGCAAUAUUCUUGUUCUUACUAUAUGUAGAGAAAUACAUGCAUGAGUCCUAGUAAAUUGUCCAGCUUUUGGUUAAGAUAAAAACAGUCCUCCUUCAAGCAGAAGAACGCCAGAGACUAGGUAUUUCUUAAAAAGUUUUCUUGGUAAGAUUUUAAUUCGGGGAGAAAGGAGUUUUACACAGUGUAUGUAGGUACACAAAGAAAAAGGAGACACCGGAAAGAAAAAUACCUGUAGUGGGUCUCUUCAAGUAGAAGGGUUAUGAGUAAUUGGAUGACUUUUUUUGGUUUUUGUUUUUUUCCGGUACCAGGAAUCGAACACACGACCUUGCCCUUGCCAGGCAGGUGCUGUGCCGCUGAGCUAAAUCCCGAGAGCCCCUGGGUGACUUUCAUUGUCAUUGUGCUUAUCUGUAAUUUUUAUGUUCUGCUCUGUAGUUUUGUGGAUUCCUUCCUUCCUGGGAAAGGAAAAGAGAAAAAGAACCCCUGAUGCCUAAAAACAGGAAGACUUUAACUCCCCGUACAGUUUAAAUCAUUACCACCCAAGCACGUGUCUGGGAUCUCCUGAAGUCAUUCAUCAAACAUGCCAGCCAGUCAUUCAGUAAAUAUUUCUUGAAUGGAUAAGUGGUAGGAAUUUAAACGAGGGAAGAUCCUUCUGUCUAAAGUUGCUUGGCAGGGCUUCAAGGAAGAGGCUGAAUCAGAGGGGUACGGGGCGGGCAGGACCGGGCCUGCAAUCAGGGAGGGGCAGGCCCAGCUCCCUGAGGGGGAAAGCCUGGAAAAGUAGGCUCCUUCAGUGGCGUAAAAGAUACAAAAGACUCUGAAAAGAUGGGAGGAAAGCAGAUUGUAGAGGGCCUCGUGAUUGCUUGAUUGACACUAGUAAUUAUUUAAUUCAUUAUUUGCAGUUACUUAGUGCCAAGUGUGUUCCCCUGGAGGGCAGGGACCCGUCCGGCCGGUUUUCCCAGCUCCCCGAGACCUAGAGGGUGCUCGGCGUGCAGUUGACUGUCAGGACAUAUUUUGCAACUGUACGGCCACAUUAGCAGCAGCCUAGGAGGUCUAGGUUUUGUUGAGCACGUAGAAGGUUAUCCGCGCAGGCCCUGGGACAGUCAGACUUUUCCUGUGUGAAGCCUGGGGUGGGUGAGGAGAGGUUCCACUGUGGAUGGAGUCUGCAGCUUAAGCAGUGGAGAACAGAAAUCAUGGAAACGUCUGAGGAGAUGGGUAGCAAAGAGAAAUUCCAGCCAGAAGAGGGGAGAGAGUAAAGCGGGGAGGGAAGCUACUGAAGUGAAAAACCCAGGAAGAGUCACCAGGCUUUCACCACUGUGAGAGUCUCCGGCUGAGGGCUGACAAUGGCAAGAAAAAAGGAACAUUUUCUGCCGGGCGUGGUGGCGCACGCCUGUAAUCCCCGCACUUGGGAGGCUGAGGCAGGAGGAUUGUGCGAGUUUGAGGCCAGCCUGGGCUACAAAGUGAGCUCAAGGCCAGCCUGAACUGCACAGUGAGACCCUGUCUCAAAAAGACAAAAGAAAAGGAGGGGGCUGGGGAUUUAGCUCAGCGGCACAGCCCCUGCCUGGCAAGCGCAAGGUCGUGAGUUCAAUUCCCGGUA